rnacentral:lncRNA from 10 species
AUAGCAACAGCAGCGUAGCUGAACAUCUUACGGAUGGCCCAGGGCUCCAAAGGCUCGUUUCCUAAGUGAGAGAGAGCCUGGCUGAAGCUGUAUUACCAUUCAUUCUCCAGCCUCCGAAGUCUCAAAGCAUCACUUCCACCAUACUCUAACUGUCAAGACAAACACAAAGGCCCAGAAACUGCCAGACUGUCUUCUGAAGUGGCUAUAAUAUUUACACUCCCAUCAGCAGUGUAGAAGGGGUCUCACUAUGUUGUCUGGAGUGCUGUGGUGGAGUGGAGUGGCUAUUCACAGAGCCUGUUCUGCUGGGACACAGAAUCACUUGCUCCAUCUCAUACAUUGAUGAUGAUUAAUUUGUAUGUGUACCUUCCAAAAAAGAUGGUUGUGUUUGAAUGGAGGCCUUCUGGACAGGAAAAUAUGGAGAGUGCGUGCUUUGGAUUCAAGACUGGGAAUGAGGGGACCAGAAACCUAUUCUGUGGCUGUUUCUUGUUAGGACUUUCCUAAGCCUCUGGAAAAGUGCAAAGUACAAUUAACAUUUGAGUCUGUCUGAGUCAUGAAGAAAUGGAGAUUACUGAAAAUAAUUCAUUUUGGUAUCUUCUUACAUCCUGAGAGACUAAUCUUUCCAAGUUCAUCUGAGGCUCCUCUUCUCCAUGACAACCUCAUCCAGGGAUUUCUUCCUGUCCUGGUGUUUUAUGACAUAAUCACAUCCUUCCUGAGAUAAUGAGCACACAAUUGCCUGGAUACCUGAAGGAAUGGAGACAGCGGCAGAAAACACUGCAGAGAGGUGGAAACAUCCGUUAAUAUUUUAAAAUCCCAUUACUGCUACCAACAAUAAUAAUGGAUGCAUAGAAAUAGAUCUGGAUUAGCUGAGCUUGAAACAGUCCAUCUCACACACACACAAAAGAAUUUCAGAUACAGUGAACCCACAUGUUGAAGCUUUCUAGUAUAAUAAAAAUUUCAACUGUUCUGUUGAAUCAUCUGCCUGAUUGGAGGCUACAGAAAAGAUGUCAUCUUAGGAGUGCUUGCUCUGAGUGAGGCUCAUCUUCAAAUCUGAAUGACCACAAGGAGAUUUGAUUAUACAUGUGAACACCUCAGAAGGCACAGCCCACCCAGAAGGCAGACAGAAGAAGCUGCCAGGAAGACUGUGAAAUCUUCAUGCCCAAGGAUCCCUAAAAUUAGGAGCAACAACCACUUGGCUCAGACGGUUUAUGGAGGCAAAGGUUUGGAUGGGAUUAGAGAUUUCUAAAUGUGAGUUCGUGUCCUCUGCCAGACCACCUUACUUCCACCAUUCCUCAGCAAAUCAAGAAAAACAGGAGAAAAGACAUGCCUUUCCAUAAGUUAAAUCUAUUCUGUUUUAAUUCUAUAUUAUAUCUGCUGUACAACUUCUUUUGUUUGUAACACCAUAUUGUUGCUAGUAACUGGAAAUUAAUUUUCACAUGCCUCAGCUUAGAAAAAUAAAAAGCAGCCCUGCAUCAAUCCCAAU